rnacentral:snRNA from 1 species
AUAAAAUAAAGUUGGAAUGAUACAGAGAAGAAUUCCUUGGCCCCUGUGUUAGAAUGAGAAGCAAAUUCAUGAAUCGUUCUACACUUUU